UAGGGAAUAUUGGUCAAUGGAGGCAACUCUGAACCAGCCAUGCCGCGUGCAGGACGAAGGCCCUCUGGGUUGUAAACUGCUUUUGACGGGGACGAAAAAGGCUAUGCGUAGCAAAUUGACGGUACCCGCAGAAUAAGCCACGGCUAACUACGUGCCAGCAGCCGCGGUAAUACGUAGGUGGCGAGCGUUAUCCGGAUUUAUUGGGUUUAAAGGGAGCGUAGGCGGCUUAUUAAGUCAGUGGUGAAAGGUAGCAGCUUAACUGUUUUACAUGCCAUUGAUACUGAUGAGCUUGAGUUGUUAGAAGGCAGAUAGAAUUCCUGAUGUAGCGGUGAAAUGCUUAGAUAUCAGGAGGAAUACCGAUUGCGAAGGCAGUCUGCUGCAUACAUACUGACGCUGAGGC
rnacentral:rRNA from 1 species